rnacentral:sRNA from 1 species
UCUAAAGGAUACGAGGGGUUCAGGUGAGAGCCUGGAGCCCGAGCAAACAGGAAACGUUACGCGACACGGCAGACCUAUCACGUCUGGGAGGGUUAAGGGGGGCAGAAAUGCCCGAGCUUGACCUCUCAGGAAGCGGGCUUGUAGCUCAGUUGGUUAGAGCACUCCUCUGAUAAGGGAGAGGCCCCUGGUUCGAGUCCAGGCAGGCCCAUGGGAGAGCGUGCUGCAGCGCCAAAGGCGACGCAGCACCCUACUCCGCGCACAUUAACAAGGGAAUAUGUACGACAUCAAAUCCUAAUGCAUGGCGUUGUGUGUAUCAAACGAAACGACAGCAGUUCUUCGCAUGACAGAAGACAAGCAAAGAAGGGCGAACGGGGGGUGCCUAGGCGUCAGGAGCCGAAGAAGGACGUGGCAUACUGCGAAAAGUGCCGGAGAGCCGUAUGCGGGCGCAGACCCGGCAGUAUCCGAAUGGGGAAACCCGG